CUUUCUUUCUUUCUUUCUUUCUUUCUUCCUUCCUUCCUUCCUUCCUUCCUUCCUUUCUUUCUUUCUUUUUUUUUUUUUGAAACAGGGUUUUCCUUUAUGUCUUUUUGUCUCCACCUCCCAAAAACGGGAUUGAAGACAGCUUUCCACACACCCAACCGUUACGUGGUCUCUGGCAUCCGAACUCAGGUCCUCAGGCUUUGCGGCAAGCAGUUUACCCACUGAGGUGUCCUCCAGCCCCUUCUCAGUUCUUGUGAUCUCAGAUCUUGCUUGUCCUUUCAACCAUGACUUCUUGGCUUGGCACCUGCAGGUCAGUCUUGGAUUUCUGACGGCGUUGGUCAGUCUUAGGUUUCUGAUGACUAAAGUCAAUCCAUUCCUUAUCUAAAAUGGUUUUGAAUCCCAUAUUGCUUCUCAAAACACUCAACGCUCACUGUCGCGGCUUCCACAGUGUCUCUGCAGCUGGAUCAGCCACAUCUGGGAAGUUCUCUUCUCCGCCUUUGCAGUGGUCCACAGAAGACCAGCCCCACGCCCUCUGCAGAAACUAGAGAUGGGUUGCGGCCCAGAAAGCUUCGAGGGACUGUGCUUUGCAGAGGUCCCCUCAAGCAGUCCUGCUCUGUCUGCAUAUUGGUCUACUUUCCUGUCCAUCCGCCCCCCCUCCCCUUGUGUGUGUGUGUGUGUGUUUGUGAAAUUAUUUCCCAGGAGCUGUACUCCUUGUUUUUUGAGACAGAGUCUCUCACAGGGACCUGGAGCUCACCUAUUGGGCUAACCUGGCCAGGUAUCUGCUGUCUUUACCUGCUCAGCACUGAUUUUACACACAAGCCCCACCAUGCCUACAUUUAUGCUUGCUUGUCAACACUUUAUAGACAUUGUCUUCCCACUUAUUAUUAUUAUUAAUUAUUAUUACUGCUUUAUCUCACCCCAAAAGAAGAGUGGCAUUAAUGCAAUUCAUCUUUUUAGCUAGAGACCAAACCAUAAAUCAACCCUUCUUGUGUCAGAUCAUGGAACUCAGGGUCUCAUGCACACUAGAAUAAGUACACAGCGAACCACUUUUCAUUGAUCAUAUCCCAACCCCAGCUCAGGAGUGUUAGAAAACACUACUGAUCAAAGAGACUUCUGGAAAAUAGUAGCUAAGUCCUGACUCCUACAAAGAGUUGUACAGAGACUAGCUGGACACCUGAGCACCAUCCUGCACGCUAGAACUGGAAGACUACCUUUAUAUUUUUCCAAAUGGUGACCUUGUUAAUGAAGUCAGAGAUGUGCAGGCUGGUCUCGGGCUCCUGAUGCAUUCAGUGCUGUGUUCCCAUGCCAAUGGCUUUUGGAUGUCAUGUUGUAAGUGAGGCCAUGGUUACCUGCUACCAUCAUGGGAAAGCAUCGCUUCCCAGUAACUCCUUGCCAGACAGUUCUUCUUCCUGCAAGAUGAUUUGGAGGUUGGUACUAAGCCAUCCCAAAAGCACACCCUCCAGUAUCCCUGUGGGUAGGAGCCUUUCAUUUGAAAGUCACUGAGGGUUCAAGACAGGGACAUCAAGUUGUCUCUCUUCCAGUAGGUCCUACGGGCUGCUCCACGAGUCACUGAUUGAAUCAUCUUCUCCCUCAAAGAUGUAGACACCCACAAGCCACAAAUGUCCAUCACAAUUCAUCACCAACUCUAGCUUACCUGCUGUCGUUGGUGAAUGCUUUGGUUUUGUGCAUCACUCACGGUGUAGAAGGACUUCUUGUCAUUUACCCAAUGAACUCUUACAUAUCCUUCUAAACAUGACUCAACAAAGUACACCCCAGGAGAGUUUCCUCUAUCUAUUCACCAAGGUGGGGAGAAGAGACACAAAGAGAGGGGAAAAGAAGAGAAGAAAGGAGAGGGAAGGGAAGGGGGAGUAGUCAGGGUUCCCUAAAGGAAUAAAUCUGGUAGAGUUGAUAUAUAUUAAAAGGGGACUCGUUGGGCAUGAUGCCACACGCCUUUAAUCCCAGCACUUGGGAGGCAGAGGCAGGUGGAUUUCUGAGUUUGAUGCCAGCCUGGUCUACAGAGUGAGUUCCAGGACAGCCAGGGCUACACAGAGAAACCCUGUCUUGGAAAAAAAAAAAGUGUGUGCGCGUGUGUCUGUGUGUGUGUAUUGUCAGGUUGGUAUAUAGGAUAUGGUCCAUGAAGUCCAAUGAUGGCUGUCCCACCCUGGAGAGUCCAAGAAUCUGGUGGUUGCUCAGUCCAUGAGUCUGGAUGUCUCUGCAGUACCAAUCUGGUGCUGGGGGUCUGGAGGAUUCCUGGAGAGCUGCUAAUCUCCGGUGUGUCUUGGAAGCCCAAAAGUCUGUGGAUACAGGGACAGGAUGUGUGACAAUCUUCCACAGAAAUCAGGCAGGUCAUACACUGGAAAGCCAAUGCUUAAUAAACCAGGAAUGAGUGAAGAGAAGACACAUCGCCAUGCUUGGUCCCGGGUCCUGCUGAGAAUAUGAGUGGUGUUACCUUAAGCUGAUUCUUCCCAGGGCCAGCCCUACCUCAAAGAGUGUGGUUUGCUAUUUUUCACCUAAGCAAGAAAAGGACUAAGAGCCCACAAUCCCCUACCUCAACCAGCAUCUAUGAAGCAAGAAGAUCUCUGACUGGGAACUGUGUGGUCAUCUUUGAGAAACCACAACUGAAGCUGAGAGUAUGAGGGAUGGGGGAGGGGCACCUGCAAUUGCAGGGCUGGAGGCACAGGGAGCCCGAAGCAGCUCAGCUAUGCGGGUCCAAAGGCCUCAGUUCCCUGGGGCCUGACUCAGGCAGCCCCAGAACAGGUUUAUGUGGGUGUUUUUUUCUCUCUCCCCAUGUGUGUGUGUGUGUGUGUUUUCAUGUGUGUGUGGAGGCCAAAGGUUAAACUUGGGUGUCCUCUCCAGCCCUCCUGUAACUUGUUGUUUGAAACAGGGUUUGCUACUUUGGACUUGAACUGGUCUUUUUGGCUAGGCUAGACAGCCCAUGUGCUCCUCCAAGGAACAGCCUGUCUCUGUCCCGCUAAUGCUGGGGUCACCACCUCACACUCAGGUUCUAACGAUUGUUACAUUGAACCAUCACCCCAUCCCUGGACGCAAGAUCUUGAUGGAGAAACAUCAUACUUCAGAAAUUGAAUGGAGGAGGCUGAAAUAUGUAGAGAAAUCUUCGAAGAGGAUUUCUGACCGUGGGGAAGAGAUGACCAAAGAGGACCCUGAAACCAGGCAGGGAGUGCCCACCACGAUACACCUACUUCAUGAAACCAGUGGCUUGUGGGUAGUUUUCAAGGACGUUGGAGGAAAUGGCAUGGUGACUGAAUCAGAUAUCCAAGAAACGUAGAGAACAGGAGGAUGUCAGCCUGGAAUCAAGGCUGUACAGCCAGGGUUAGGGGAGGCCAGCAGAGGGAGGCUGAGCUGUCGGGACUUCCACAGCUCUCUGAAACAGAAGUCACCUGCUUUCUGAUUGCUUUCUGAUUUUGCAUCUCCUCCAUCUGGUCUCUCUGGAGAAGUGACUCUUUCUUUGCAAAUGCCUGAAUUGCUUUGUGUGUUCACUAUGCUACCCAGCAGUUAUCCUUCCCUGUAGCAAGCUACCCAAGGUUGUCUCUCUCCCAUCCCCCCGCACCCCUCCGCCGCC
rnacentral:lncRNA from 1 species